rnacentral:lncRNA from 7 species
GGUAUAGUUCAGAGGACGAACAAGAAAAUGGACCUGCAUUAGAAUGUGUACUCUCAAUUAAAGGCAAUGAAGAAUUCACGAAAAUACAGUUUACUUUUUAUCUAUAGAUGCAUGCUGUUGAAAGAACAUGAAGAACCGAUUGUAAGUCUGGUUAGAUGGAGAAUGUGUACUCACAACUAUUCUGCACAGGAGGAGGAGAUGAUAAAUAGUGUGAAGUGUUUGACUUGUGAACCCCGUGACGACACGUCACACUAGAGAAUUGUUCUACUAACAAGC